UCAGAUAGCUCACUCGAUAGAGUAUUGGACUUUUAAUCUCAGUGCUGUGGGUUUGAGCCCCACAUUGUAUGAA